rfam:Desulfococcus multivorans DSM 2059 ctg91, whole genome shotgun sequence.
GACGGUGGCGACGGCAAGGAGGCAACACCCGUUCCCAUUCCGAACACGGAAGUUAAGCUCUUUUGCGCCGAUGGUACUGCAUGGGCGACUGUGUGGGAGAGUAGGACGCCGCCGUCA